rnacentral:rRNA from 1 species
ACGAAGGGGGCUAGCGUUGCUCGGAAUUACUGGGCGUAAAGGGAGCGUAGGCGGGUCGACAAGUUGGAGGUGAAAGCCCAGGGCUCAACCUUGGAAUUGCCUUCAAAACUGUCGAUCUUGAGUAUGGGAGAGGUAAGCGGAACUCCGAGUGUAGAGGUGAAAUUCGUAGAUAUUCGGAAGAACACCAGUGGCGAAGGCGGCUUACUGGCCCAUUACUGACGCUGAGGCUCGAAAGCGUGGGGAGCAAACAGGAUUAGAUACCCUGGUAGUCCACGCUGUAAACGAUGAUUGCUAGUUGUCAGCAAGUAUACUUGUUGGUGACGCAGCUAACGCAUUAAGCAAUCCGCCUGGGGAGUACGGUCGCAAGAUUA